CUGCCAGCAGCCGCGGUAAUACCUAAGUGGCAAGCGUUGUCCGGAAUCAUUGGGCGUAAAGCGCGCGCAGGCGGUCCCUUAAGUCUGAUGUGAAAGCCCACGGCUCAACCGUGGAGGGUCAUUGGAAACUGGGGGACUUGAGUGCAGAAGAGGAAAGCGGAAUUCCAAGUGUAGCGGUGAAAUGCGUAGAGAUUUGGAGGAACACCAGUGGCGAAGGCGGCUUUCUGGUCUGUAACUGACGCUGAGGCGCGAAAGCGUGGGGAGCAAACAGGAUUAGAUACCCUGGUAGUCC
rnacentral:rRNA from 1 species